rnacentral:rRNA from 1 species
GACGAACGCUGGCGGCGUGCUUAACACAUGCAAGUCGAACGGAAAGGCCCUGCUUUUGUGGGGUGCUCGAGUGGCGAACGGGUGAGUAACACGUGAGUAACCUGCCCUUGACUUUGGGAUAACUUCAGGAAACUGGGGCUAAUACCGGAUAGGAGCUCCUGCUGCAUGGUGGGGGUUGGAAAGUUUCGGCGGUUGGGGAUGGACUCGCGGCUUAUCAGCUUGUUGGUGGGGUAGUGGCUUACCAAGGCUUUGACGGGUAGCCGGCCUGAGAGGGUGACCGGCCACAUUGGGACUGAGAUACGGCCCAGACUCAUACGGGAGGCAGGGGUGGGGAAUAGUGCACAAUGGGCGGAAGCCUGAUGCAGCAACGCCGCGUGCGGGAUGACGGCCUUCGGGUUGUAAACCGCUUUCGCCUGUGACGAAGCGUGAGUGACGGUAAUGGGUAAAGAAGCACCGGCUAACUACGG